GGCAGAAACUACAAAUCCCGAAAAGCUGGGCUGAGGUCGCUCGCCUCCGUUUCUGAGAGUUUCGUUUCUUUAAAGGUAGAAAUUGAUGUUGCCUAAUAUAAGGUUAAAGGAGAGGUGGGAAGAAUUUUCUACCUAUUCUCAAUGAAACCUCAAUCGCUUCCCGGUCCAGACCGCUACCUCUUGUGCAGGAUCUUGCCUGACAGUUCGCUCAAGAGCUAUGUUUGACUUUGCUCCGGUAAACUGCGAUGGACGAGAGCGCUGCAAAUGUCACGAGGCAUUUAUUUCCCUUUCUUAAGCCCCUGACCUCGUGAAUGAGCAUGCCUAGGGCUAAAGGGGUCGUCGGGGUUCGGUGGGAAGAAUCUACGCCGCGGGCUCAGUCCCCCACGGUCGCAGAGGCGGUCCUCCCAAAGCGUAGACAAGCUUCUUCCCGGAACCAGCUUGCAGCCUGGCGGUGCUUUGCUCACCCCUUUCUUGCUUUGUAGGAGUUGUCAUUCCUGUGGAGCUUUUGGUCUUUCCUGAAGUGUCUACUUGCCUCUUUUAUAUUAUUGAUCCAAAGAAACACGUCUUCGUCUCACCUGGAGCAGACCAGAGUAACAAUCUGAAGGUACAACAUUUAAACUUGAAAUCAGAGAAUGAGUCCAAGGAUGGAAGCCUGAACACACGGCAUAAUCUCUUAUCCUACUCGAAGAUUCUCUGAAUUCCAAUGUUUUAUCCAACUAUGGACUGAGACCUAUGGAAAAUAAUAGUUAUUUGAACACAUAAUUCUUAAGAAUUUGAUCAUUUCUCAGUCUCCUACACCGUAUUGUUAGGUCCAAGAGGACAGCAAUCAUCUUUUUGGUUCACCCUUGAAUCCCCAGUGCCUUGCAGAGCCUGACAGAGAAGGCGCUCAAAUGACUGUUACAUAAUUAAGUCAUCUGUUCCCCUCACUUGAUCCUUUACUGGUUCUGUGGACUCGCUUUAGGUUCAUCCAAAAUAUUUCACUGAAUGUACGGCUCUCAUUGUUAAAAAGACUGAACUUACACUGACCUGGAGUCAGCUUCCUUAUAGCUUCUGUGGGUUGGACGAUAGCACAGGAGGGAUGUUAGGGUGGGGGCAAAGAAGAGGGGUGGUGAGAUGACUGCUGAACAGCCUUCCAUCACUACUGGAGAACCAGUAACGUCUACCAGAGCAACCUCCACAGAGGUAACCACGGAGCACAGAAGCUGGACAAAUGGACUACUUCUAUAAUCAGAAAGUAAGUGGAUGGAAAAUGAACAGACAGUGAACAACUAUAGUUGCCCUUUUAUUCCCACAGAAGUUAUCCUUUAAGGUGGUUCACGAACCCCUAACCAUUAGUUGCCCUCUUCUGGGUUUAUUCCAGUUUGUCACAAUUUCUCUUAAAUUUUCUCUUGGCCCCUUAACCAAGUGCAGAGCAAUGAACAAGUCAGUGCGUGAAUUUGUCCAUUUAAAAGUUUCCAACAGACUUAACAUACUCAGGUCUAGGAAGCAUUUACUUUGUAGAGUUACUAUAACGGACAACUCAGCUCUAGAUAGGAUAAAAGGGUCGUGUUUUCAACCACACAUACCUGUCCAAGCUGUGAUGUCUGUCCCUGAAGAGAGAUUUGUGAACAUGAUUCCUUAGAUCCUCCUGGCUGUACGAUUGGAACUCAAGCUCUCACUUUCAUCUGUAGUGAUGUGCCCUCCCUUAUUUUCAGUUACUAUUAGUCUGCCUUAAACUGCCAUUCUGAACUUGGCAAAAACAGAGCCUACUCUCCCUUUGAUCCCAAUUUCCUAAUCGCUGCCCUCACUGCCCAUAUGCUAGUGAAAAGGCAAGAGAAGUUUACACUGCUUUUGUGUACAUCUCAUGAAAUUAGGAAUACCUACAAUAGACAUUUGGUAAUCUAGCCUUUGUACAGGCCUGGCCUCUCAGUUACACUAAUAAAACUUUACAGAUUCCUCACGUCCAGUGACUUAAAGCAUUUUCUAUAGCCAGGCACAGUGCUGGAUAAUAUCACUUGCCUUCCUCUACUCAACUUCCCUCACCCUUCUAAGACCAGCUUAGCUGACACAAAUACAAAUUUCAGGCAGCAAAGAUGUGGCCAUUUUAAUCUCAUUUUAAAAACUACAACUAAUCUUAAGUAAGGCAGUCGCUGAUCAGUUGCAAGCUGAUGAAAUACUGAGGUCUUCUUCAACCACCACCUCGGCAACCUGAAAGUAGUUCUCUGCAAUACUACUGUCAAAUGACCAGAGAUGUCUGUCACAGAGGGAUAUUGAAAAUGAAUCUUAAACUGUCUUUUACAAUUUUUUGUUCACGAGCUGGAAACACCUACUUCCAAAAUACCCACUAUUUAAAAACCUUCUGUAUUCAAACUUGGUUCACAUCUG